CCUACGGGUGGCAGCAGUGAGGAAUAUUGGUCAAUGGGCGCGAGCCUGAACCAGCCAAGUCGCGUGAGGGAGGACGGCCCUACGGGUUGUAAACCUCUUUUGCCGGGGAGCAACGGGCGCCACGUGUGGCGCCACUGAGAGUACCCGGAGAAAAGGCAUCGCCUAACUCCGUGCAGGCAGCCGCGGUAAUACGUAGGAUGCGAGCGUUAUCCGGUUUUAUUGGGUUUAAGGGUUGCGUAGGCGGAGCGUUAAGUCAGUGGUCAAAUUGAGGGGCUCAACCCCUUCCCGCCAUUGAAACUGGCGUUCUUGAGUGGAAGAGAAGUAUGCGGAAUGCGUGGUGUAGCGGUGAAAUGCAUAGAUAUCACGCAGAACCCCGAUUGCGAAGGCAGCAUGCCGGCGUCCGACUGACGCUGAAGCACGAAAGCGUGGGGAUCGAACAGGAUUAGAUACCCGUGUAGUC
rnacentral:rRNA from 1 species